rnacentral:lncRNA from 1 species
CCUUUAUGCUCCACUCAAGUCCUGCCUGUUCAGAAGACUCCGCCUCGGCCCAGCCUCUCGCAGGUCGUGCCCCCAGCUGGACUGCUGACCCUUCAUAUGAAGGGGAGCCACAUGCCGAUGCCGGGACCAGAGGGAGUCCAUGAGUGAGGAGGGCUUCUUCUAAGGGACCCAGGCGAGAAUCCCCGCAUCCUCUUGGCCAGUUCUGAGGACUUCAGUUAUGUGCUCCUGUUCUCGCGGUGGGCUUAGAGCCCCAGCGUGUGUGUCCACCCACCCCCAUUUCAGAGUUCAUUUGAACCCCAGUCCUUAAACACGAGCCUUCCCGGGACCAUUCCCUCUGCAUCUUCGUGGAACUCUUGGACGAGUUCCCUGGACCAAGACUGGAGAUAGCUGCGUCCCAUGAUACCGGCCGAUUCACCAGACUGAGCCUUAAAUGUCAUUGUCCUCUACUGAGUCGGCUUCCACAGCACCUCGCCCACCCCAGGGGCAGGAUGUCAAGAUCAGUCACAUGGCCAAGCUUCAUUGCACAGAGUGAAGAUGCUAGAAACGGCAUUUCAGGGCACUCCAGCGCCUCACAGCACUCUGCAGCUCAGGGUCUGAGGAGGUUCUGUGGCUGGAAAUCAGGCUGCAGGCCAAGGAAGGGCUUGGUCACAGCACGCUCAGCCAGCCAGCCUGUCCACGCUGAUGGGGAGUGUCUACAGCUCCAGUAUAGAGCACCGAUCCAGGAUCAAAGAGCAGCAAGGCACACCUGCAUGUGCUGGCGGGCAGCGCCUACCCUUGCUGUCAACGCCGGACGUGUUCUUCUGGUCUAUGAGCUCUCCAGCCCGGCCUACCGAUGCGCGGAGGACACCCUGAAGAAGGGAUUGUUCCUGCUGGAACAUCACGCAGCUUCCUGGCUUCCCCGAGCCCACGGGUGAGGGCCUGGGAAGUGGGGGCUUGCACGGGACAAGCAUUGGCAAUUCAUUGAGUUCCCCAAAGCCAGCUCUUCCUCUUCGGGUUAGUCUGGGAUAUCCUCCCCACUUCUUGGAUGGACGCUCUGACGCUGGGAGAGGCCCCCCACUCCACCCGGCUCUCGCUGGCCCUCACCUGCCCUCGUGAUGCUCCAGGAUUCAUGGCUUCACUCUUGCCCGGCACCUGUCUCAGCCGGCUUUCCACGAGGACGGAAGCAGGCUAGCAGAGGGGAGCGGGACAGAAGUGGGAGGUGGGACGUACGGUUCCUGGAGAGGCAACACUCACCUGACCGCAGUUAAUCCCCAAAGCCAAAGUGCCCCCGAAUUGUUUCUGUGCAGAUUUAAAAUGUGUUACAGUGUUGUUGGUUAUUUUUUCCCAAGCCAUAGCUGAUGAGGCUUCUUAAUUAUGUUGAGUUUAGUCUAAUAUUAAAACAUGUUCCCCGAGCUUGCCCAGGGAGCAGAAAUGGUGGCUGUGGGCCUGGUAAACGACAGCGAGAAGCCAGCACAGGGCUCGACAUUUGCCUUGAGUCAUGCAGCAGAUGAGUUACCAAUGGCCUCCUCAGGCAAUUCUGGGUCGUGUGUGUGUGUGUGUAUGUGUGCACGCGUGUGUGUAGGCACGUGCAUGUGUGUGUGGCAGGCCGGGGCACCAGGGGGCAGUUCCUUGGUCUGUCCACCUGCCCUCGCUAAUGUUUGGUGCCCGUGCCAUGAAGGCAGCUGGUUUCCUGGCACCCACUGCCUGGCAGAUGGGCCUUGACCUUUGUAGCAACUAGCACGGUGUUAGGUAAACAAGACCCCCUGCCCCUCCACUCUCCUGCUCCUGCUGCCAGUGAGUUCUAUUUUUGACAGGCUUGGGCUGGGGAGACUGAGAGAGCUGAUGGCGGGGGCGGAAGAGCGGGCACCUGCUGAACUGGGGACGGGAGGCAGAUGGCGGCGAGGAGCGUGGCCUCUCACCCUAACCAGGUUUGGUCUGUCCACAGGACGCAAGGGGCCCCUCCCCACCCCCCAGCAGGCAGCUCUGAGCAUGCAGUGGGGUGGCUGAGGAGGGCAGGAGAAAGGGGGCAAGACAGGCCAAUCCGUUCCACAGCCACAUCCUUGAUCUUGUGACUGUGAGAAGUAGGAGCCAGAGGUCUCUGGAUGGCAGGGACUGGCUGCUCGUGAGAGGGCCAGACCCAGUCCCAGGCCCCCUGUUAGUCUGAUGGAUGGCUCUAGUGCUGCUAAUGUGGUUAGGGCAGGCAGCGGCCUGGGGGCCCGGGAGCUCAGAGACGGCUGAUACAGGCCCUGCCGUAAUCACGUUUGCCUGUACACAGAAGAGGUCCAGAUUACCUACCCAGAAGCCCACAGGACAUUAGUUAAAGUCAUUUAGAAAUAUUUUUUGUAUCAAGCUUUUCUUACCUUAUUAUUAUUAUUAUUUUAAACAAUCAGUUUACUGCCCAGGGCACACACAGGAAGGAGCAGCUCUAAGAAUGGAUUAUGGAGGAAAGGCCCAAGCAGAUGGCUCCCUGAAGCCCUCAGACUCCAGGGUGGGCCCAGCUCGGGAGGUGAGAGGGGGGCACCCUAUGCUUCCUGGCUGACAAACCACUGUGCCCCAUUCUUCUACUUCCCAGACCUGAAUGGCCACUCUCUUCUUUUUUCGUAAGCUUUCUAUUUUAGAUAGCUCUCGUUCUAUUAAAAAUUGUGAAGAUAGUAUGAAGAGUUUCCAUAUAUCCCCACAUCCAGUUACCCCUAUUAUGAACUACCUAUGUUAGUUUGCUACACUUGUCACAGUUAACAAACCAGUAUUGAUUCUUUGUUCUUAACUAAAGUCCGUACUUGAUUCGGAUUUCCUUAGUUUUUACCUAAUGUCCUUUUCUGUCCAGGAUCUUCCUCACCCAGACCCAGGCAAGCACUAAUCUGCUUUCUGUCUCUAUGGGUUUGCCUAUUCUAGACAUUUCAGAUAAAUCAUACGAGAUGUGGUCUCUUACGUCUGGCUGAGCCAGCCACUCUUACGCAUACUUUAAUGUCUUCAACUCUCAUCCUUAGACUGAAGAUAGGAUUCUAGGGAAAACAAAUUCAUGGCACGUAGGCAAAACCUAACUGUGGACUUCUGAGCCCAAACCCAGUUGUUUUGAUUACCAAACCAGAGCAUUUUCUGUCUCCCAUCUAUCAAUCAUUCAUUCAUUCAACAUUCAUUCAGUGUCCUCUACGUGCUAGGUGCUGGAGAUAAGAGGCAAAUAAACCCAUCCUGGGCCAAGCGGUCA